AUUGAACGCUGGCGGCAGGCUUAACACAUGCAAGUCGAGCGGAGAUGAGGUGCUUGCACCUUAUCUUAGCGGCGGACGGGUGAGUAAUGCUUAGGAAUCUGCCUAUUAGUGGGGGACAACAUUCCGAAAGGACUGCUAAUACCGCAUACGUCCUACGGGAGACAGCAGGGGAUCUUCGGACCUUGCGCUAAUAGAUGAGCCUAAGUCGAAUUAGCGAGUUGGUGGGGUAAAGGCCUACCAAGGCGACGAUCUGUAGCGGGUCUGAGAGGAUGAUCCGCCACACGGGGACUGAGACACGGCCCAGACUCCUACGGGAGGCAGCAGGGGGGAAUGUUGGACAAUGGGCGGAAGCCUGAUCCAGCCAUGCCGCGUGUGUGAAGAAGGCCUUUUGGUUGUAAAGCACUUUAAGCGAGGAGGAGGCUACCUGGAUUAAUACUCUAGGAUAGUGGACGUUACUCGCAGAAUAAGCACCGGCUAACUCUGUGCCAGCAGCCGCCGUAAAAC
rnacentral:rRNA from 1 species